rnacentral:misc_RNA from 1 species
GAUGAAGAACGUAGCGAAAUGCGAUAAGUAAUGUGAAUUGCAGAAUUCAGUGAAUCAUCGAAUCUUUGAACGCACUUUGCGCCCUUUGGCCAUUCCGAAGGGCAUGCCUGUUUGAGUAUCAUGAACACCUCAACUCUUCAUGGUUUUCCAUGAUGAGCUUGGACUUUGGGGGUCUUGCUGGCCUGUGGGUCGGCUCCUCUCAAAUGAAUCAGCUUGCCGGUUUUUGGUGGGCAUCACAGGUGUGAUAACUAUCUACGCUUGUGGUUUUCCACCAGGGUAACCUUCAGCAGUGGAGGUUCACUGGAGCUUACAAAUGUCUCUCCUCUGUGAGGACAGCCCUUUGAAUGUUUGAUCUCAAAUCAGGUAGGACUACCCGCUGAACUUAAGCAUAUCAAUAAGCGGAGGA